rnacentral:rRNA from 1 species
UACGUAGGGGGCAAGCGUUGUUCGGAAUUACUGGGCGUAAAGGGCGCGUAGGCGGCACGGCAAGUCAGGAGUGAAAGCCCGGGGCUCAACCCCGGAAUGUCUUUUGAAACUGCCGAGCUAGAGUGCGGAAGAGGCAACUGGAAUUCCCAGUGUAGCGGUGAAAUGUGUAGAGAUCGGGAGGAACACCGGUGGCGAAGGCGGGUCUCUGGGCAUCUCCUGACGCUGAGGCGCGAAAGCGUGGGGAGCAAACGGG